rnacentral:sRNA from 1 species
GAGUAGCAAAUCAGAAAGUACUGUGCCUGAUCUUUUAGCUCCCAGCCCAAUGUGCUCUUCUACUCAUGUUAUUUAAAUAGAAGAUUUUUGUAGGUGUAUCACAUAGUUAGGAAGAGCAAAUGAAAUAAACUCUUUAUGCUGGCCCAGAAUGCCUUCAUUGUGAGGAAGGGUGCUCCAAGUCACGGCCACUAGGUUGUCUUCACCCAUGUAUUUUGCGAUGUCACCCUGGAGAAUGUCCACCUUGUGUUCAGAUGCUUAGAAUAAAAUGUCACUGUAAGAUCACAAGCCUGUAUGUGGAAUGUAGAAAAAUAACCACAGCUGAUGUAAAUGAAAAGAACCUCCUCAGUUGUUGCAAAAAUCAGUGCCCUAAAGAGCUUCCUUGUGGUCAUAGAUGCAAAGAGAUGUGUCAUCCUGGUGAAUGUCCCUUUAAUUGCAACCAGAAGGUAAAACUUAGAUGUCCUUGUAAAAGAAUAAAAAAGGAAUUGCAGUGCAACAAAGUACGUGAAAAUCAGGUUUCAAUAGAAUGUGACACAACGUGCAAGGAAAUGAAGCGGAGAGCAUCUGAGAUAAAAGAAGCAGAAGCCAAAGCUGCUUUUGAAGAAGAAAAACGAAGACAACAGGUAACUGAACAAAAUACCCAGAUUUAUGUCUCUUAGCA